GGGAAUAUUGGGCAAUGGCCGAGAGGCUGACCCAGCCAUGCCGCGUGCAGGAAGAAGGCCUUAUGGGUUGUAAACUGCUUUUAGCCGGGGCUAACGCUCUCCGUGCGAGGGGAGGUGAAGGUACCGGCGGAAUAAGGAGUGGCUACACGCGUGCAGGCAGCCGCGGUAAUACGGAGGAUCCGAGCGUUAUCCGGAUUCAUUGGGUUUAAAGGGUGCGCAGGCGGGGCUUUAAGUCCGCGGUGAAAGGCAUGGGCUCAACCCGUGCACUGCCAUGGAUACUGGAGUCCUAGAUCAUGGACGGCGUGGGCGGAAUAUGUCAAGUAGCGGUGAAAUGCGUAGAUAUGACAUAGAACACCGAUCGGGAAGCCGGCUCACGAGGCCAUGGAUGACGCUCAGGCACGAAAGCGUGGGGAUCAACCAGG
rnacentral:rRNA from 1 species